rnacentral:tRNA from 1 species
UCCCAAAUAGCUCUGUUGGGAGAGCGUCAGACCAUGGAUCGAAAGGUCCCUGGUUCGAUCCCGGGAUUCCGCA